GGGAGGCUGAGGCUUGGCGAGAGGAGGCCCCCACUCACGGUGACGCGCGACAUGUGAGCAGCAGGGCCAGGAUUCAGACAGAGAGAGGCCCAGCUGCCUCUGGCCACACCCACUCACGGUUAACCCAGGAGGAGAGAGAUGUGCUGGUCCCUUCUACCUGGGAGCCUCAGCGGACAGGAGUUGGAACUGGCCCUUGGAAGGUGGAUGCCCUGUAAAGCCCCUGGCCCAAGGUUCGGAAGAUCUCUUUGCCAGCUCUUUGGGAGAAUCUGUUCUCGUUGGUGUUGGUUUGGGGAGAGCCUGGAAGCUCUCAAAUCGUUCACUGGUUCUGGAUGCAGUAAAUCGCCACAAUUCCCUGAUCGACCAAGUUUUCCCAGGUAUGUAUAUGAACCAUGUGUGUGCAGUGCCAGAGGAUGCCAGAAGAGGGCAGCCGUCUUGGAGCUGGAGUCACACAGAUGGCUGUGAACUGCUUGUGGACAAUAGUGAUUGAACCCCAGCCCUCUGAAGAGCAGCCAGUGCUCUUAGCCGCUGAGCCAUCUCUCUAGUGCCACAAACAUCUCUCUCUCUCUCUCUCUCUCUCUCUCUCUCUCUGUGUGUGUCUCACAUAGAACUCACAGGGUCCGAGUCUGCCUGUGGACACAGAGAUAACAAUAAAGGAAACAUGCCAAAAUGUUCUCAAAAAGAGAAUGGCGUGAUGCUCUUGGUUAGUGGUCUUGCAAGGCUUUUA